AAAACCAGUUCCUUUCUUUUUUCGAUAGACGAACGAGUAACCGAAACGACGAUUAUGAAAUGAAAACGCGUUUUGUUUAAACGAUUGCGUAAAACGAAACGCAUCUUGUUUAACGACACAUCGAUGUGUCGUUUAACGCACCAAAAAGAACGAAUUCGUUGCUUUCACCGGACGAAAUAAAUUUCUUCGCUUCUUCUCAGAUGGACGCGCAACUUUCGGAAGUGUAACGAUCGCCGUUAAAAAAAAGAAAAUAAGAUUCCUCGUUCGAACUGUUCGAACAGAUUCAUAUGUAAUAGGGAAAGAGAGCAGCAACAGCGUCGAAUUAUAUCCACUUUUCCUCGUUCGCUUUUACGAUCACCACAUACAUAAUCGUGAAACUGCCGAAGAUAACUUUCCACUCGUAUACCUACACGAAAAAAAAAGAAAAAGAAACGAAAGGAAAGAAAAAAGAAAUAAUAUAAAACGAAAACCAAAUGAAAGGCGGACAUUGUACAAAUUAAAUAUGUGUACAAUAACCGAUCGAUAACACAAAAAGAUACGAAGAAACGAAACGAACGAUUCGCAAUUCGUAUAGGUUUUCGAGAGGAAACUUUUCUUCCGGACCGAUCCACUGAAUUUUCGAAGACAUUUGCACGUCCCUGGGUCAUAGAGAUAGGACCGCCCCUGCCGAAGAAGUAGGCGGCGUUCACCAGCCCUGAUCGUUGGUAUUACUCGGCACUCUAACGUGGUGCCGGAGAUCAGGGUUAGCGAAGAAACGGCAUGCGAUGGCGGCCGACCGAACCUGAACAUUCUUCCACUUUUUCAACCCCCUGGAUCUUUAUCAGCUCGCCAUCCAGACCAGUUGCGCCACAAUUUCCGCCCGAUAACCGCGCUGCACCGUAACCGUUGCCAAUACUUUCCAUCGGUGAAAACUGUCCUCCGUUUCCGGUCCGGGUAAGAACGCGUGCGUGAAGAAUUUGCUUAAAAGCCUACGGAUGUAACAGGCUGUUACAGGUAACACAGCAGUACGGUAUGCAGCGGUUGACACGAAAGUUGGCCGUACGAGAAAUUCCUUUCGAAGACGCGCGCCUCGAUGGCAUUCAACCUUUGGAGAUAUUUAUUUUUGGAAACGCUUCGUGUUACUCGGUACCUCGAUUUAGAUAGCAUGACAGAUGAAUUUGAUAUACCGCGAUUUAUUAGUUUCACGACACUGCCAACGAACGUGUCGGACACCACGCAUACCGUCCGUUUAUUCCGCAAUGUUCGGAUCUCAAUUCCACAGAGAUAAUCCUGAAAGUAUCUGCAAAGGUGAGGGAAGGAGAUACCAUUAUCGAUGCAUACCGGCUCACCCAAUAAAACGUUGGUAGCUUACAGCCCUGGAUCGUCAUUCUGCACGUCCGUGGAUGAAACUCUUGGAGAAAAGCAAGAGAUGCUGCAGUUCACUCUACUUCUCUCUUCCUCUCUCGUCCAGUACGUUCUCUUUCUCCACUGACCAACAGCAACGGAAUAAAUAAAGUAAAUAGAGGAAUAUAGGAGGUAAAUAAAAAAUGUGGCAGCAGAGGAGAGAGACAGAGAAAUAGAGAGAGACAGAGACAAGGAGAGAAAGAGAGAGAGAGAGGGGAGUGUGUGCGAGGAAGGAGGGAGGGAGGUAAGGAGAAAAAGAGAGUUAAAGGGAAAGAAGGAGAGGAAAGAAGAGAGGAAGGGAGAGUGCCCUCAGGGCGAAUUCCCGUCGAGCAUCGGCCGCUGCAGAAUCCAGAGGUGCGUUCACCGGGGAAAUCCCUCCCUCGGAGAUUAUCCUCUUGAAGAAAACUCGACGACUGUGCAUUUUUAACGCGCGCCGUGUACGACCGCGUGUUCCUUUAUUUACCAUUGCGUUUUCUUAAGAGCACUUCACUCUUCUUUCGUCGCAUUUUUACGAAAGUCAUAUUUACGUCAGACAAAACUAACGAUAGAUUGUACACUUGGAAUUGCACAAGAUAAACGAGAUAGAGUUGUAAA